UACGGGGGGAGCAAGCGUUGUUCGGAUUUACUGGGCGGAAAGGGCGCGUAGGCGGCGCAACAAGUCACUUGUGAAAUCUCCGGGCUUAACCCGGAGCGGCCAAGUGAUACUGUCGUGCUAGAGUGCGGAAGGGGCUACUGGAAUUCUCGGUGUAGCGGUGAAAUGCGUAGAUAUCGAGAGGAGCACCUGCGGCGAAGGCGGGUAGCUGGGCCGACACUGACUCUGAGGCGCGAAAGCCAGGGGAGCGAACGGG
rnacentral:rRNA from 1 species